rnacentral:rRNA from 1 species
GCGGAGGAAAAGAAACCAACCGGGAUUGCCUCAGUAACGGCGAGUGAAGCGGCAAGAGCUCAAAUUUGAAAUCUGGCCCCCUCGGGGUCCGAGUUGUAAUUUGCAGAGGAUGCUUCGGGUGCGGUCCCCAUCUAAGUGCCCUGGAACGGGCCGUCAUAGAGGGUGAGAAUCCCGUCUGGGAUGGGCGGCCGCGCCCGUGUGAAGCUCCUUCGACGAGUCGAGUUGUUUGGGAAUGCAGCUCUAAGCGGGUGGUAAAUUUCAUCUAAAGCUAAAUACUGGCCGGAGACCGAUAGCGCACAAGUAGAGUGAUCGAAAGAUGAAAAGCACUUUGAAAAGAGAGUUAAACAGCACGUGAAAUUGUUGAAAGGGAAGCGUUGUCCACCAGACUCGCCCGGGGGGGUUCAGCCGGCACGUGUGCCGGUGUACUCCUCUCCGGGCGGGCCAGCAUCGGUUUGGGCGGCUGGUGAAAGGCCCCGGGAAUGUACCACCCUCCGGGGUGUCUUAUAGCCCGGGGUGCCAUACAGCCAGCCUGGACCGAGGCCCGCGCUUCGGCGAG